ACUCCUACGGGAGGCAGCAGUGGGGAAUAUUGCACAAUGGGCGCAAGCCUGAUGCAGCAACGCCGCGUGAGCGAUGAAGGCCUUCGGGUCGUAAAGCUCUGUCCUCAAGGAAGAAUAAAUGACGGUACUUGAGGAGGAAGCCCGGCUAACUACGUGCCAGCAGCCGCGGUAAUACGUAGGGGCAAGCGUUAUCCGGAAUCACUGGGCGUAAAGGGUGCGUAGGCGGUUUUUCAAGUCAGAAGUGAAAGGCUAUGGCUCAACCAUAGUAAGCUUUUGAAACUGUUAAACUUGAGUGCAGGAGAGGAAAGUGGAAUUCCUAGUGUAGAGGUGAAAUUCGUAGAUAUUAGGAGGAACACCAGUGGCGAAGGCGACUUUCUGGACUGUAACUGACGCUGAGGCACGAAAGCGUGGGGAGCGAACAGGAUUAGAUACCCUGGUAGACUGUCA
rnacentral:rRNA from 1 species